CAAUUCCAGAGCCUCCACUUUUUCCCCAGCUGCAUGGAAGACCUUGAGGACAGCCAGAGCCUGAUGGGAGCCAGCAGAGAGAAGCUGAAGGCCAGCAGCAGGAGCAGGGAAUGGGGACCUGCUGCUGCCACCCUGGAGAGAGCUUGGAUGUCCCAUCUGCUGUCCCUGUCCAGGAGAGCUGCUCUGCACGGGAGGAGAAGACCGAGGGAGAGGCUUUGAAGAUGAGGCAGCUGGGAUCCUUCUGCUUUUUGUGCUGUUUAAUUAUAUAUGGACUAGCAUGGAGUUACUGAUAAUUACAUGCAUUUUUUCAUAUGUAGCUUGCUAUUUGUAUUGGUAUAUUUCUGUAUGUAUCUUGUUAUUUUUAUGAAUGUACUCUCUAUCUAUGUACGUAGAGAUAUAUACAUACAGGUUUGCAGUUACGUAUUUGCGUAAAUACGUAUCUACUUUUUUAUGUAUGUUGUAAUAUCUGUGUUUAGUUAUUUUUCCAUAUGUGUACAGCUUUGUAGGUGUUUAUAUUUAUCAAUGUAGUUUUCAGUAUAUAUCUUUUAAAACUAGUGUAUUGGUAUUUGUAUUGGUACAGAUGCCUAUUUUUAUAUUUUUAAUUGUAUAUUGAUGUAUUUGUAUUUAAAUAUAUUUACAUAUGUUUCCAGAUGCAUAUCUGUCUGUAUAUUUGUAUGGAUGCAGUUGGAUUGGUAUUUAGACUGGUACAGUAAUAUUUGUAUAUUUAAAAAUAGUUGUGGUUGAAGUAUUUAUAUAUAUAUAUUUUAUAUAAUCUAUAAUAUUUAAUCUAUAUUUACAUCGUUAGAUUGUUAUAGAUUUAUUUUUAUAUAUGUUCAUGUAUGUAUGUAUUAAAUUCUGUUUAUAGAUGUAUAGUUGCAUAACUAUUGAAUUCUUGUUGGGGUAUUUAGAGAGGGAAUGCAUAUUUUUGUAUUUCUAUAUGGGGUCUGCAUUUGUAGUAAUAUGUAAUAAAUUAAGUUGUUAAACGCCUAAUUGAUCUUUGUGUAUAGUGAGUUGCGUAUAGUGGAGGCUAGCAAUAAAUCAAGUUUGGUUAAGUGAACUUGGUUUUUGUAUAUUUUUACAUAGACAGGUUGUAAUAAUCUAAUAAAUUGCUGGUUUUACCUUAAAUUGAGAUCUGUUUAGUUCUGUAUUGUCAGCAUGGGUGUAGCAGUUUGUAAUAAAUGACAUUUUUCAACUGAAA